CUGAGCUUGAUGAGAAGCUCAAAAGGAUCAAUCGAUGAACAGCCACGUGGGAAGAGAAAACUGUACCCAAACAGCCAUGAAUCUUGCCUUACGUAAGCAGGAGGUUGGUAGCCACCUUGUAAGGCAGCUGUACACCUGGCUCAGAGAAUUUGGCCUCAGUCCAAGCUGCAUAGUGGGCAUUGGACAGGCCUGCACAGAGAGGUGAAGAACUGGAGUUGCCCAACCUGCCCUUCUGCAGCUGAGGUUGAACUUGGUUUGCCUUCUCGUUUCAGCUCUCCUGUUACAAG